UGGGGAAUAUUGCACAAUGGAGGGAACUCUGAUGCAGCAACGCCGCGUGCGGGAUGACGGCCUUCGGGUUGUAAACCGCUUUCAGCCAUGACGAAGCUUUUGUGACGGUAGUGGUAGAAGAAGCACCGGCUAACUACGUGCCAGCAGCCGCGGUGAUACGUAGGGUGCGAGCGUUGUCCGGAAUUAUUGGGCGUAAAGAGCUUGUAGGCGGUUUGUCGCGUCGAUAGUGUAAACACGCAGCUUAACUGUGUGCCUGCUGUCGAUACGGGCUGACUAGAGGAGGGUAGGGGAGAAUGGAAUUCCCGGUGGAGCGGUGGAAUGCGCAGAUACCGGGAGGAACACCAGUGGCGAAGGCGGUUCUCUGGACCUUUCCUGACGCUGAGAAGCGAAAGCGUGGGUAGCAAACAGG
rnacentral:rRNA from 1 species